rnacentral:rRNA from 1 species
AGUGAACGCUGGCGGUAGGCCUAACACAUGCAAGUCGAACGGCAGCACAGGAGAGCUUGCUCUCUGGGUGGCGAGUGGCGGACGGGUGAGGAAUACAUCGGAAUCUACUCUGUCGUGGGGGAUAACGUAGGGAAACUUACGCUAAUACCGCAUACGACCUACGGGUGAAAGCAGGGGACCUUCGGGCCUUGCGCGAUUGAAUGAGCCGAUGUCGGAUUAGCUAGUUGGCGGGGUAAAGGCCCACCAAGGCGACGAUCCGGAGCUGGUCUGAGAGGAGCACCAGCCACACUGGAACUGAGACACGGUCCAGACUCCUACGGGAGGCAGCAGUGGGGAAUAUUGGACAAUGGGCGCAAGCCUGAUCCAGCCAUACCGCGUGGGUGAAGAAGGCCUUCGGGUUGUAAAGCCCUUUUGUUGGGAAAGAAAUCCAGCUGGCUAAUACCCGGUUGGGAUGACGGUACCCAAAGAAUAAGCACCGGCUAACUUCGUGCCAGCAGCCGCCGUAA